rnacentral:lncRNA from 1 species
CCUGUGCAAAGCCGGAAGCAGCACUGGGUGCUUGGACAGAGGGAAACAGGGAAAGUGCAAACUUCAAAGCACCAAACAGCUUCUCUUAGACUGUGUCUAAACACGAGAGCAGUGUCAAGCCUGGCCCUUCUGAUGACUACUCUCCGAGCCAGCUUCAUCUCUUCAGUCAUGCCAGCGUCUCCAGGGGGGCAACCAGAGAACUGUGGGAAGAGGAAUUGUUUUCCAUCCCUCCCUGGCUCUCCUCCAAAGCAGAGCUGCCCUCUGGGGAGACUGAUGUGAGCUGAUAAGCAGUGUCUGGGGAGAAAUUCUUGGCACCGAUUCCAUGUGGCUGAGCUCUUUAAAAGGCCAAGCUCCUGGGCUUGGGGCUGUAGCAUAGCUUCGCAUGCACGAGGCCCUGGGUUUAAUUACCAGCACCGCAGGGGGAGAAAAGACAUCCAUGUUCCUGCGAGCCUCACCAAAUCUGGCCUGUCGUGAGCAAGGCCUACAGACAAGAAGGCUGAGGCCUAGGGCUUCAUAUUGCAUGUCUGAAGGACACAGAAGAUGAACAGUGAGCAAGGGUCUAAACCCAGGGGCUAGGAGGUCACCAACGUUGUACUUUUUGACUUAAGAAAGAAUAGAACCAAGAAAAAAAAAGUGAGCUGGGCAGUUCUUGUGAGAUCU